AAUGUAUAGCGAAAGCUAGUUGCAUUAACUAACUGUUAAUGCAGAAGCGACUAUGUCGUGUAAAGUUCAGGGUAGAGUUAUGAUAAUGACAUUUUCUAUCUGUGUGUCUCGACCAAACUACGUGCCAGCAGUCGCGGUAAUACGUUAGAGACUAGUGUUAUUCGUCUUUAGUAGGUUUAAAGGGUACCUAGACGGUCAUUUCAGCCCCUAAAGGGUACUGUUUGUACUAGAGUUUUAUGAGAGGGGGGGUGUACUAAUGGUGUAGAGAUGAAAUUCAGUCAUACCAUUACGAACAGGCAACAGCGAAGGCAACCCUUUAUGUGUAAACUGACGUUGAAGGACGAAGGCUUAGUCAACCAACAGGAUUAGAUACCCUAGCAGUCUGAGCAGACAAUGAUGAAUGCCAUAGAUUGGUAUAAAUAGAGGAAGAGGAAGGUAGUGAAAGUAUUUUUCUUGUUUAAAAAAAAACAUAAAUUGUAUGUCAUUCUUUUUGGAAAUUGUGACAAAUAAUUCUUUUCCGCCUUGGGGCUACGGGCCUUUAUCUUAAAAGAUUUUAUUUUCCACCUUGUCUAUAAAUGAAAGUGUAAGCAUUCCACCUCAAGAGUAACGUG
rnacentral:rRNA from 1 species